rnacentral:rRNA from 1 species
UUGAUCCUGGCUCAGAACGAACGCUGGCGGCGUGGAUAAGACAUGCAAGUCGAACGAGAGAAUUGCUAGCUUGCUAAUAAUUCUCUAGUGGCGCACGGGUGAGUAACACGUGAGUAACCUGCCCCCGAGAGCGGGAUAGCCCUGGGAAACUGGGAUUAAUACCGCAUAGUAUCGAAAGAUUAAAGCAGCAAUGCGCUUGGGGAUGGGCUCGCGGCCUAUUAGUUAGUUGGUGAGGUAACGGCUCACCAAGGCGAUGACGGGUAGCCGGUCUGAGAGGAUGUCCGGCCACACUGGAACUGAGACACGGUCCAGACACCUACGGGUGGCAGCAGUCGAGAAUCAUUCACAAUGGGGGAAACCCUGAUGGUGUGACGCCGCGUGGGGGAAUGAAGGUCUUCGGAUUGUAAACCCCUGUCAUGUGGGAGCAAAUUAAAAAGAUAGUACCACAAGAGGAAGAGACGGCUAACUCUGUGCCAGCAGCCGCGGUAAUACAGAGGUCUCAAGCGUUGUUCGGAAUCACUGGGCGUAAAGCGUGCGUAGGCUGUUUCGUAAGUCGUGUGUGAAAGGCGCGGGCUCAACCCGCGGACGGCACAUGAUACUGCGAGACUAGAGUAAUGGAGGGGGAACCGGAAUUCUCGGUGUAGCAGUGAAAUGCGUAGAUAUCGAGAGGAACACUCGUGGCGAAGGCGGGUUCCUGGACAUUAACUGACGCUGAGGCACGAAGGCCAGGGGAGCGAAAGGGAUUAGAUACCCCUGUAGUCCUGGCAGUAAACGGUGCACGCUUGGUGUGCGGGGAAUCGACCCCCUGCGUGCCGGAGCUAACGCGUUAAGCGUGCCGCCUGGGGAGUACGGUCGCAAGAUUAAAACUCAAAGAAAUUGACGGGGACCCGCACAAGCGGUGGAGUAUGUGGCUUAAUUCGAUGUAACGCGAAGAACCUUACCUGGGCUUGACAUGUAAUGAACAACAUGUGAAAGCAUGCGACUCUUCGGAGGCGUUACACAGGUGCUGCAUGGCCGUCGUCAGCUCGUGUCGUGAGAUGUUUGGUUAAGUCCAGCAACGAGCGCAACCCCUGUUGCCAGUUACCAGCACGUGAAGGUGGGGACUCUGGCGAGACUGCCCAGAUCAACUGGGAGGAAGGUGGGGACGACGUCAGGUCAGUAUGGCCCUUAUGCCCAGGGCUGCACACGUACUACAAUGUCCAGUACAGAGGGGGCCGAAGCCGCGAGGCGGAGGAAAUCCUGAAAACUGGGCCCAGUUCGGACUGUAGGCUGCAACCCGCCUACACGAAGCCGGAAUCGCUAGUAAUGGCGCAUCAGCUACGGCGCCGUGAAUACGUUCCCGGGUCUUGUACUAACCGCCCGUCA